rnacentral:rRNA from 1 species
UACAGAGGUCCCAAGCGUUGUUCGGAUUCACUGGGCGUAAAGGGUGCGUAGGUGGUCGGGUAAGUCUGAGGUGAAAUCUCCGAGCUCAACUCGGAAACUGCCUUGGAUACUAUUCGGCUAGAGGGUUGGAGGGGGGACUGGAAUUCUCGGUGUAGCAGUGAAAUGCGCAGAUAUCAGGAGGAACACCGAUGGCGAAGGCAGCUCGCUGGGACGGUACUGACGCUGAGGCGCGAAAGCGUGGGGAGCGAACAGG